UUCAUGAUAUGAUGGUGUAAAAUAGGGAACACUUGAAUGUGAACAUAUGAACUAUUGAAAUAAGUGUGAUGAUGAAUGUGAUUCAAAAAUAAAAUAAAUACAACUGUGCUGAUUUGUGACCAUUGAUGUCUUAGGUGGUGCGGUCGGGAUUGGACCAUCAUCAAGACAGGAACGACCCACAGGUGGAGCAGGGACGUCACACCAACGAGAUGUCUAGGAUACCCGAUACACGGGAACCUACUUUUGCAAGGAAUUAAGUAGAUGCAUUCUAAAUCACAAUGUAUUUUGUAGGGAUCAAUGUACUGAAUGUAUAACUUUUAUUAGAUCCUUUUUGUUUAAAAAUUGUGAUGGCUAUUAGAAGUAUAAGAGUGCAAACUCAUGUCCAUGUAUAUAUAUUUUUAAUAUGAACUUCAAAUCAUGCAACCUUAAUAUUAUGUGUUUGUGUAAGAUUCGCU